rnacentral:rRNA from 1 species
AGAUGUCUACAACAUAGCGUCAAUGCACCAUAUCCCAUUAGAACUCUGUAGUUAAGCAUGCCCAGGCUAGAGUAGUACUUGGAUGAGUGACCAUGUGGGAAGUCCUAGUGUUUUACAUGCC